UCGUUAAAUCAGCUCCUAGUUGGUUUAACAGUUUCUCCUCUAUUUCUCCUUUGUAGACUUGGCGCACACUUAAUCGUGUGCGCAUUUUU
rnacentral:ncRNA from 17 species